GGGCCCGCACAAGCGGUGGAGCAUGUGGUUUAAUUCGAUGAUACGCGAGGAACCUUACCAGGGCUUAAAUGUAGUGGGACAGGCUUAGAGAUAGGCUUUUUCUUCGGACUCAUUACAAGGUGCUGCAUGGUUGUCGUCAGCUCGUGCCGUGAGGUGUCAGGUUAAGUCCUAUAACGAGCGCAACCCCCUGCCGUUAGUUGCCAGCAAGUAAAGUUGGGGACUCUAACGGGACUGCCGGUGCAAACCGUGAGGAAGGUGGGGAUGACGUCAAAUCAUCACGGCCCUUACGUCCUGGGCUACACACGUGCUACAAUGGCGCAUACAGAGUGCUGCGAGCCUGCGAGGGUGAGC
rnacentral:rRNA from 1 species